UACAAGGCGUUUCUCAACGCCAUCUUGUCGAACUGUCUAUAAAUGU
rfam:Perkinsus marinus ATCC 50983 gcontig_1104296724198, whole genome shotgun sequence.